rnacentral:rRNA from 1 species
GAUGAACGCUGGCGGCGUGCCUAAUACAUGCAAGUCGAACGAACAGACGAGGAGCUUGCGCGUCUGACGUGAGCGGCGGACGGGUGAGUAACACGUGUAUAACCUACCUAUAAUACGGGUAUAACUACGGAAAACCGGAUCUAAUACCGGAUAAUAUAUUGAACCGCAGGGGUCAAUGGUGAAAGACGGCUUUUCUGGCACUUAUAGAUGGUUCCGGGCCGUAUGAUCUAGUUGUUAAGGUAACGGCUUACCAAGGCAACCAUGCGUAAACGAGCGGAGAGGGUGAUAGGCCACAUUGGAAGGGGGACACGGUCCAGACUCCUACGGGAGGCAGCAGUCGGGAAUCUUACGCAAUGGGCGAAAGCCUGACGGAGCAACGCCGCGUGAGUGAUGAAGGUCUUGGGAUCGUAAAACUCUGUUAUUGGGGAAGAACAGAUGUGUACGUAGACAUGGCGGUCUUGACGGUACCUAAUAAGAAAGCACCGGCUAACUACGUG